rnacentral:rRNA from 1 species
UAUACCGUAGCUUGCUACACCAUAGACUGUGAGUUGCGAACGGGUGAGUAACGCGUAGGUAACCUGCCUAUUAGAGGGGGAUAACUAUUGGAAACGAUAGCUAAUACCGCAUAACAGUAUGUAACACAUGUUAGAUGCUUGAAAGAUGCAAUUGCAUCGCUAGUAGAUGGACCUGCGUUGUAUUAGCUAGUAGGUAGGGUAAAGGCCUACCUAGGCAACGAUACAUAGCCGACCUGAGAGGGUGAUCGGCCACACUGGGACUGAGACACGGCCCAGACUCCUACGGGAGGCAGCAGUAGGGAAUCUUCGGCAAUGGGGGGAACCCUGACCGAGCAACGCCGCGUGAGUGAAGAAGGUUUUCGGAUCGUAAAGCUCUGUUGUUAAGGAAGAACGAGUGUGAGAAUGGAAAGUUCAUGCUGUGAC